rnacentral:rRNA from 1 species
GAUGAACGCUGGCGGCGUGCCUAAUACAUGCAAGUCGAGCGAACAGACGAGGAGCUUACUCCUCUGACGUUAGCGGCGGACGGGUGAGUAACACGUGGAUAACCUACCUAUAAGACUGGGAUAACUUCGGGAAACCGGAGCUAAUACCGGAUAAUAUAUUGAACCGCAUGGUUCAAUAGUGAAAGACGGUUUUGCUGUCACUUAUAGAUGGAUCCGCGUCGCAUUAGCUAGUUGGUAAGGUAACGGCUUACCAAGGCAACGAUGCGUAGCCGACCUGAGAGGGUGAUCGGCCACACUGGAACUGAGACACGGUCCAGACUCCUACGGGAGGCAGCAGUAGGGAAUCUUCCGCAAUGGGCGAAAGCCUGACGGAGCAACGCCGCGUGAGUGAAGAAGGUCUUCGGAUCGUAAAACUCUGUUAUUAGGGAAGAACAAAUGUGUAAGUAACUAUGCACGUCUUGACGGUACCUAAUCAGAAAGCCACGGCUAACUACGUG